rnacentral:rRNA from 1 species
GAUGAAAGACGCGGAUGGUACCACUGGUGCCCAUUGCCCCUUAGUCCCAAGCUAAGGCCUCUCCCUCGGACUCUUUGCCGAUGGUGUAGGUUCCUUCCGUCGUCCGCGCGUUUAAUGGGUGAGGGCUGAGCCCCUCCAUCACUGCUUUUUAUUGUUAUGUCCUGAGAAAGCUCCGGGACAUUAACCUUACUCAUGUGAAAUUUAGGAAAUUGCUCCUAGGUAACCUCCCGUUCAGACCACGGUCGUCGGCGCCAUUAAGGUCGAGGUUAUCGCAUAUAAUUUCAACGACGUCAAUUUUUCGAGCAUCAACCUAGAACCCUAGCUCGACCGCCAGGCGGCGCUCCGCUCGAUGGCGGACAGGGUCGGGGACGGAGAGCCGCGGAGGGGCUACGAGAACUGACUCACAGGGCCCCCGGGCUUCGCAAAUGAAACUUUUUUAAUCUCACAAGUUUCGUCCGGCCAGCGGACUUAUGAAGUCGAUCCUUAUUACCUUAUCCUGAGGCCAAGAUAAAACAACCAAAAGCCUUGACCCCGGUACUAAUUCUCCCUGCCGGCCCCCGUAAGCAUAACACGGCGAUCUCCACUUUAAGAACCUGGCCGCGUUCUGCUUGGUUUCGCUUUCGUAAACGGUUCUUACAAAAGUAAUUAGUUCUUGCUUUCAGCCUCCAAGCUUCUGCUAGUCUAUGGCAGCAUCAAGGCUGGUAUUUGCUACGGCUGACCGCUAGGCCGCCGCAAUAAGGGUACUGGGCGGCUCGUCGAAGGCCCUUUGGUUUCAGAAACCCAAGGCCCCCCUCAUACCAACGUUUCGACUUUGAAUUUCCUUAACUGCCUUC